UACGAAGGGGGCUAGCGUUGCUCGGAAUUACUGGGCGUAAAGGGCGCGUAGGCGGCACUGUUAGUCAGGCGUGAAAGUCCUGGGCUCAACCUGGGAACUGCGCUUGAUACGGCAGAGCUAGAGGAUGGAAGAGGGUCGCGGAAUUCCCAGUGUAGAGGUGAAAAUUCGUAGAUAUUGGGAAGAACACCGGUGGCGAAGGCGGCGACCUGGUCCAUUACUGACGCUGAGGCGCGAAAACCAGGGGGAGCAAAACGGGG
rnacentral:rRNA from 1 species